rnacentral:sRNA from 1 species
UUUUGUUUUUAUGUUCGUCGAUCUUUU